rnacentral:rRNA from 1 species
AUACGUAGGGGGCGAGCGUUGUCCGGAAUGAUUGGGCGUAAAGGGCGCGUAGGCGGCCCGGUAAGUCUGGAGUGAAAGUCCUGCUUUUAAGGUGGGAAUUGCUUUGGAUACUGUCGGGCUUGAGUGCAGGAGAGGUAAGUGGAAUUCCCAGUGUAGCGGUGAAAUGCGUAGAGAUUGGGAGGAACACCAGUGGCGAAGGCGACUUACUGGACUGUAACUGACACUGAGGCGCGAAAGUGUGGGGAGCAAACAGGAUUAGAUACCCUGGUAGUCCACACUGUAAACGAUGAAUGCUAGGUGUAGGGGGUAUCGACCCCUUCUGUGCCGCAGUUAACACAAUAAGCAUUCCGCCUGGGGAGUACGGCCGCAAGGUUGAAACUCAAAGGAAUUGACGGGG